UACAUAGGGGGCAAGCGUUGUCCGGAUUUAUUGGGCGUAAAGCGCUCGCAGGUGGUUCAUUGCGUCGUGCGUGAAAGACCCCGGCUCAACUGGGGAGGGUCGUGCGAAACGGGUGAACUAGAGGCCAGUAGGGGGAUGCGGAAUUCCGGGUGUAGUGGUGGAAUGCGUAGAGAUCCGGAGGAACACCAGCGGCGAAGGCGGCAUCCUGGACUGGUCCUGACACUCAGGAGCGAAAGCGUGGGGAGCAAACAGG
rnacentral:rRNA from 1 species